rnacentral:rRNA from 1 species
UACGAAGGGGGCUAGCGUUGUUCGGAAUCACUGGGCGUAAAGCGCACGUAGGCGGAUCUUUAAGUCAGGGGUGAAAUCCCGAGGCUCAACCUCGGAACUGCCUUUGAUACUGGGGAUCUCGAGUCCGGGAGAGGUGAGUGGAACUGCGGGUGUAGAGGUGAAAUUCGUAGAUAUUAGCAAGAACACCAGUGGCGAAGGCGGCUCACUGGCCCGGAACUGACGCUGAGGUGCGAAAGCGUGGGGAGCGAACAGG